UGGGAUCCAUCAGAUUUUAUCUUAAAAAACCUACUUCAAAGUCAUCCCUCUCAUUCUCUAUCAGAGAACGGCCGCCUCCCCUCUUGUCCUCUCUCGUUUCUCUCUCAAUAAACUGGUGCGCCGCAGCCGGAAGUGGUGACCGGCCAGGCGGCAACCAUUGCUGGACCUUCACCUUUUGUUCAACCCCCCUCAACCCCUGUCCCUCGUUCCACCAUUCUCAUUGCUGUUGCACCGGCGACGAGCGACUGGCCGUUUACAACCAUGGCAAUAACCAUUGCCUUCGUCCUCGUCUCUGUUAGUCUGUAGCUUUCCGGCGAUUACUUGUUUGUUUUCUUUUGAAUCUGACCGGAGGGGCCUGGAUCUGAUGGAAACACUUUUUCGGACAUGAUACUAGGUUUGCUUGCUUGUUACAAAUUUUCUUUUCUAUCUUGUCACCUAGAUCUGAGGAAUAAUGAAGAGAAACAAUAAGUGGACGUUUGGACAUAAGAAUUGUAAAUUUUUUUAAAAAAGUGAAUUUUUUUAAGUAAAAAUAUUAUUUGAAAAUUAGAGUUGUGUUUGAAUAUGAAUAUAAUUUGGUGUUGUUUUUGAAGUUUAGUGAUUAAUCUGAUUGGAAAUUUUGAAAAACGGUUUUUUGAAAUUUUUUAAAAUUUUAAAAAAUUUCAAAAUGUAUCUCCAAGCGAAAAUUAAAAAAAAGUGAAAAUUUUUUGAAAAAAGAAAAAAAUUUCUUAUGUCGAAACGUGUUCUAAAUAAUCCAGUCAUCGGAGUGCAGCCGGAAUCUAACCGAAAUAUUCUCCGGUGAUUGUUUCCCGUUAGCCUCUGCUACUGUUUGGCUAUCAUGUUCGUUGCUGUUGAGUUUUGGUAGCCUUUGGUCCUGGAUUGAAUUAAUCUUAUCAUUUUUGGGAUCUCUUUCCCAUGAUAAAAUAUGCUUGAUUCAGGGAGUUCCAUUUUCGGACUGUGAGAUGCUAAAUUGCUGCUGAGUGUCGCUGAUCCAAAAUACACUAGGUCGUGAUGGCGCCUAACGCCGUCGUUAUGUAAGCUAACAGUGAUUAAUCAAUUUAAUUACUCAUUUUAUUACUUUUGAAAUUAUAAAUUUUAUUAAGGAAGAAAAUUUACACUUUUAAAUUCACGGGAACGUACAAAUUUGUAAUUUAUAAGAGAAAUAAAAGGCGAUGAUAAUAUACAGAAUCGUAAGCAUCAACUAGUAUAUCCCAAAAUUUGGUGUCACAGGUGCACGAAUAUUUACUUAGGAGUAUAAUAAUAAUACAACAUCUAUCUAGAAUGUAAAUGAGACAGGAUAAAAUAAAUAGUACGAUAGAAACUUUGUGGACUGCGAUGCAUAGCCUGAAAUGCAGCUCGCAUAAAGUUUUAUCAACAGCUGCGCCUACGCGUUAAGAUGAUCACCAAAUGAAUCUGUCAGAUCCCGCACAUUUAGUGCAAAAGUGCAGCAUGAGUACGUAAAUCAACGCAUAUCAGUAAGUAUCUAGUCUAACCUCGGAGAAGUAGUGACGAGGAACCGAUAUCAACACCUACUAGUGGUCCAAUAAAUCAACAUGAUAAAUCUCAAACAGAUAAGAAGCACAACAGUAGUAGUGAGGUAAAAUUGUAACUAACACAAUCUUCCAAAAUUUCUUUUAACGAUAUCAAUUUCUCAAUUUCGUAUUCUAUCUCAACAACUCAGAAAUAUCAAGUGUCAAUAUCAAACGGAUAAGGAAGUGCCAUAUAAGAUGCAAGACAUUAGUGGAAGGAAGAGUCUCGUAAAUAUUCAGACUGCUAGCGAUAUAACGCACGAUUAUGUCGAGGUUGUGCGACCAGAUCUCAGAAGGAAUAUGAUACUGCCGAGGCGAUCGACCCGAUCCCAUCAUAACGUGUACACUGCCGAGGGUUGAGCGGCAUGAACCAUAGAUGCAUCUAUUAUACUGCCGAGGCAAACAACCCGCUUCCAUGAGAGUGUGGUACAUAAUCUUGCAGAGGUAUUCAGCCCGCUCCCAAGAAAGGAAAGGAAUUAUCGAAUUACGAGACACGAGCUUACGAUACAGUAUAUGAACACAAGGUGAGUAUAACCUUUACCGUUUCUCAAAUAACUUGCCAACAACUCAAGGUAAUAAGGCUCGACCUAAUAUAUAUGUAUAUAUUUCUAAAUCAAGUUCAAUUAUAAUUUUAAUUAAUUAAGCCAGUAGAAUGAGUUCAAAUAUUUCAAAUAUUACAUGGUAAAUUCCUAAGUCUACCCAGACAUAACAUGCUUUAGCUACGUACUGACUCUCGUCACCUCGUGCGUACGUAGCACCCAUAACUAAUAACACAUAACAAUUACAUCACCUAGGGGGUAGUUUCCCCAUCACAAAGUUAGACAGGAGACUUACCUCGCUUCGAAGUUCCAUAACCGGCUCCAACGCUUCUCUAACACCUCAACUCAAAGCCAAACGUCCCCAAACUAGUCGAACAACGUGUAAAUCAAUCAAAAUAUACUCCAAUGCUUACAAUUUAACAAUUUAUAAUGAUUCUCAAAUCCGAUCGAAAAGUCAAUAAAGUCAACCCUCGGGCUCACGUGCCCGGAUUCUGAAAAUUUUCGAAGAUAAACUUUACCCGUAACACCACAAACUCAAAUAUACAAUUUAUUUCUAAUUCCAUUUCCAAAAUCAUGGUCAAAAUUCAAAAUUAUCAAUUCUAGGUUUUCCUCUUAAAAUCCCAUAAUUUCCAUGAAUUUUCAUAAAUUUCCAUGUAAAAAUCCGUAUAUAAUCCAAGUAUUUAACUUGUAAUACUUACCCAGUGUUGCUCGACGAAAACCCCCUCAAAAUAGUUCCUCAACUUCGGCCAACCCAAGAGAAAAUGAGAGAAAUGAGAGUUAAGUCUCGAUUUAAAUGCACCACUGCCCAGCGACUUUCGCACCAGCGAACCACUACCCGCACCUGCGGAAAAAUCCAUCGCAGAUGCGUUUGUCUCUAAGCCAGGCAAAUCCUCUUCUGCGGAUCAAAUUCUGCUCCUGCGCGACCGCUUUUGCUGUCCACCCCACGCUCCACGUACAAGUCGUAAUACAUGAAGUGAAGCUACUCAAGGCCUCAAACCGCCGAACGACGUGCUAGAACUCAAAACGACCGGUCGGGUCGUUACACUGAGCUUCACACGUUUUUUCUUGCUAUUUGAAUGUUACAUUUUAAUAUGUUGCUUUGGGGAAGUUUCCAUAGGUUGGUAAUUUGGUUUCACUAAUAUCAGUCCUUGAUGUUUGUCACUGUUGCCUGCCGAUUAAUUCAUGUUUCGCCAUUAUAGUAAUUAGACUUUGAACUAAAUUCUGGCGAUUCUGUGUUGGCUUUAAUGGAUCGUUGACGCCGGUUUGGACAGUUUUCUUCGCUGAAGGAUGUUCCAAUUAGGAAGGCUACGCUUAUUGGAUAUUGUUGUCUUUGAACAACACUAGAGGCCGAUGAGAAUAAUUUUUUUGAGGCCACGAUGCCCCAAAUGACCGCCGGAUUGGGCCCGAAAUAACGAGGCGAUGAUGAUAAACAUCGAAAAGGGAAAAAAGACGAGGAUGCGAUGAGCCAAUAAAAUCUAUGGAGGGCGACACGAUUGGCCACCGGAGUCGCUACCAGGCGGUUCCCGUUCUCAUGUCUAGACGGAUAUCAGAUAUUACAUAUAUCUGAGCCUCCUAUAUUAUCUUUUAGACUAUUUUUCAAAAUUAUUUCUUUAAAACAAUUUCCCAAAAAUAUUUUUAAACUAUUUCCAAAAACAUUUUUCCAAAAAACAUUUAAAAAAAAAAUACUAUUUCAAAAAACAAAAAAAUAAUUUCAAAUCAUUUUCAAAAGUAAUUUUCCAAAAACAUUUUAAAAACAAAAACCAUUUCAAAAUAUGUCAUUUUAUUGGUUCGUCUUUUUCAUUACAUUAUUUCGCUAACAAUUUUAUUUCUCCUAUCUUGCGAGGUACUUUAUUCGAAACGCUUUAGAAAGAUGACGCUCGGAGAUGAAGACGAACCCGUCAAAAUUCCCGUUUCAUACUUUCCGU
rnacentral:lncRNA from 1 species